AGAGUUUGAUCCUGGCUCAGGACGAACGCUGGCGGCGUGCUUAAUCCAUGCAAGUCGAACGGGGCGAUCCCGGAAAGCCUUCGGGCCGGAAGGGAGAGCUUAGUGGCGAACGGGUGAGUAACGCGUGACCAACCAACCUUAAGCAGGGGGACAACAGCUGGAAACGGCUGCUAAUACCGCAUAAGACCACAGGGGGGCAUCCUCCAGGGGUCAAAGGAGCAAUCCGGCUUAAGACGGGGUCGCGUCCCAUUAGUUAGUAGGUGAGGCAACGGCUCACCUAGACAGCGAUGGGUAGCCGAGCUGAGAGGCUGAUCGGCCACACUGGGACUGAGAUACGGCCCAGACUCCUACGGGAGGCAGCAGGAAGGAAUAUUGGGCAAUGGGGGAAACCCUGACCCAGCAACGCCGCGUGAAGGAAGAAGGCCUUCGGGUUGUAAACUUCUGUGACAGGGGACGAAGGAAGUGACGGUACCCUGAGAGGAAGCUCCGGCAAACUACGUGCCAGCAGCCGCGGUAAUACGUAGGGAGCGAGCGUUGUCCGGAAUUACUGGGCGUAAAGGGCGCGUAGGCGGCUUGACAAGUUGUAUGUGAAAGACCAGGGCUUAACCUUGGGGGGUCAUACAAAACUGUCGAGCUUGAGUGUGGUAGAGGAUAGCGGAAUUCCUAGUGUAGCGGUGAAAUGCGUAGAUAUUAGGAGGAACACCAGUGGCGAAGGCGGCUAUCUGGGCCACAACUGACGCUGAGGCGCGAAAGCGUGGGGAGCAAACAGGAUUAGAUACCCUGGUAGUCCACGCUGUAAACGAUGAAUGCUAGGUGUAGGGGGUAUCGACCCCUUCUGUGCCGCAGUUAACACAAUAAGCAUUCCGCCUGGGGAGUACGGCCGCAAGGUUGAAACUCAAAGGAAUUGACGGGGGCCCGCACAAGCAGCGGAGCAUGUGGUUUAAUUCGACGCAACGCGAAAAACCUUACCAGGGCUUGACAUCCUACUGAGUUCUUGGAAACAGGGACGUGCCCUUCGGGGAAAGUAGAGACAGGUGGUGCAUGGUUGUCGUCAGCUCGUGUCGUGAGAUGUUGGGUUAAGUCCCGCAACGAGCGCAACCCUUAUGACCAGUUACCAGCGGGCAAAGCCGGGGACUCUGGCCAGACUGCCGUGGACAACACGGAGGAAGGUGGGGACGACGUCAAAUCAUCAUGCUCCUUAUGUCCUGGGCUACACACGUGCUACAAUGGCCGUUACAGAGGGCAGCGAACCCGUAAGGGCGAGCGAAACCGAUAAAAGCGGUCUCAGUUCGGAUUGUGGGCUGCAACCCGCCCACAUGAAGUCGGAGUUGCUAGUAAUCGCGAAUCAGCAUGUCGCGGUGAAUGCGUUCCCGGGCCUUGUACACACCGCCCGUCACACCAUGGGAGUUGGUAGCACCCGAAGCCAGUGAGCUAACCGCAAGGAGGCAGCUGUCGAAGGUGAGAUCAAUGACUGGGGUGAAGUCGUAACAAGGUAACC
rnacentral:rRNA from 1 species